rnacentral:rRNA from 1 species
GACGAACGCUGGCGGCGUGCCUAACACAUGCAAGUCGAACGGAAAGGCCCUGCUUUUGUGGGGUGUUCGAGUGGCGAACAGAUGAGUCACACGUGAGUAACCUGCCCUUGACUUUGGGAUAACUUCAGGACACUGGGGCUAAUACAGGCCAGGAGCUACUGCUGCAUGGUGGGGGUUGGCAAGUUUCGGCGGUUGUGGAUGGACUCGAGGCUUAUCGGCUUGUUGGUGGGGUAGUGGCUUACCAAGGCUUUGACGGGUAGCCGGCCUGAGUGGGUGACCGGCCACAUUGGGACUGAGAGACGGCCCAGUCUCCUACGGUAGGCAAUAGUCGCAAAUAUUGCGCAAUGGGGGGAAGUCUGUUACGGCAGCGCCGCGUGCGGGAUGACGUCCUUCUGGUGGAAAACGGCUGUCGCAUGUGACGAACCGUGAGUGACGGUAAUGGGUUAGGAAGCACCGGCUAACUAAGUG